GCGGCGGUCGUCUAGCCUGGAUUAGGACGUCGGCCCCCCAAGCCGAAGGUCCCGGGUUCAAAUCCCGGCCGCCGCACCA
rnacentral:tRNA from 1 species